rnacentral:lncRNA from 1 species
AGUUGUAGUAGUAGUGGGGGAACAGGCCAUUUAAAAAGACAUCAAGAGAGUCAUAGGAUGCAUGAUUCUCAUGCUCAAAGUACCCUUAAUAUACAAGGGGGAUCACGUGUAGGUAAUUUUGCAUAUAAUCAUGAAAAUCAAGGAAAAGCACUUGUAAAAUGGAUAGUUAAGGAUGAAUUACCUUUUAGUUUAUGUGAAUCUUUUAAUUUUGAAGAAUAUGUUCAAUUAAACCUACAACCUGCUUACAAAAGAACUAGUAGGCGUACAUUUAGAAGAGUAGCUAUGACUAACUUUUUAGCAAUGAGACAAA